GACGAACGCUGGCGGCGUGCUUAACACAUGCAAGUCGAACGGAAAGGCCCUGCUUUUGUGGGGUGCUCGAGUGGCGAACGGGUGAGUAACACGUGAGUAACCUGCCCUUGACUUUGGGAUAAGUUCAGGAAACUGGGGCUAAUACCGGAUAGGAGCUCCUGCUGCAUGGUGGGGGUUGGAAAGUUUCGGCGGUUGGGGAUGGACUCGCGGCUUAUCAGCUUGUUGGUGGGGUAGUGGCUUACCAAGGCUUUGACGGGUAGCCGGCCUGAGAGGGUGACCGGCCACAAUGGGACUGAGAUAGGGACCAGACUCCAACGGGGGGCAGCAGUGGGAAAUAUUGCACAGUGGGCGGAAGCCUGAGGCAGCAACGCCGCGGGCGGGAUGACGGCCUUCGGGGUGUAAACCGCAUUCGCCUGUGACGAAGCGGGAGUGACGGUAAUGAGUAAAGAAGCACCGGCUAACUACGUG
rnacentral:rRNA from 1 species